AGUGAACGCUGGCGGCGUGCUUAAUACAUGCAAGUCGAAGGAAGUUGCGCACGGUUGAGUAAUAUAUAGCUAAUCUGCCCCUUGCUGGAGGACUACAGUUAGAAAUGACUGCUAAUACUCCAUAGCAAGGGAUGAGACUAUAUCGUAUCAGCUCGUCGGUGGGGUAACGGCCUACCGAGGCUAUGACGCGUAAAUGGUCUGAGAGGAUGAUCAGUCAAAUUGGAAAUGAGACACGGGCCAAACUCCUAAGGGAGGGAGCAGGAGGGAAUAUUGCGCAAUGGGGGAAACCCUGACGCAGCAACGCCGCGUGGAGGAUGAAACGUUUCGGAGCGUAAACUCCUUUUGUUAGGGAAGCGGUACCUAACGAAUAAGCACCGGCUAACUCCGUGCCAGCAGCCGCGGUAAUAC
rnacentral:rRNA from 1 species